rnacentral:rRNA from 1 species
CCCAGACUCCUACGGGAGGCAGCAGUGGGGGAUAUUGCACAAUGGGGGAAACCCUGAUGCAGCGACGCCGCGUGAGUGAAGAAGUAUUUCGGUAUGUAAAGCUCUAUCAGCAGGGAAGAAGGAGGACGGUACCUGACUAAGAAGCCCCGGCUAACUACGUGCCAGCAGCCGCGGUAAUACGUAGGGGGCAAGCGUUAUCCGGAUUUACUGGGUGUAAAGGGGGCGCAGACGGCAGCGCAAGCCAGGAGUGAAAGCCCGGGGCCCAACCCCGGGACUGCUCUUGGAACUGCGCGGCUGGAGUGCAGGAGGGGCAGGCGGAAUUCCUGGUGUAGCGGUGAAAUGCGUAGAUAUCAGGAGGAACACCGGCGGCGAAGGCGGCCUGCUGGACCGCGACUGACGUUGAGGCUCGAAAGCGUGGGGAGCGAACAGGAUUAGAUACCCCGGUAA